GAUGAACGCUGGCGGCGUGCUUAACACAUGCAAGUCGAACGGAAAGGCCCAAGCUUGCUUGGGUACUCGAGUGGCGAACGGGUGAGUAACACGUGGGUGAUCUGCCCUGCACUUCGGGACAAGCCUGGGAAACUGGUUCUAAUACCGGAUAGGACGAUAGUUUGGAUGCCAUUGUGGAAAGUUUUUUCGGUGUGGGAUUAGCUCGCGGCCUAUCAGCUUGUUGGUGGUGUAAUUGCCUACCAAGGCGUUGACGGGUAGCCGGCCUGAGAGGGUGUACGUCCACAUUGGGACUGAGAUACGGCCCAGACUCAUAAGGGAGGCAGCAGUGGGGAAUAUUGCACAAUUGGCGCAAGCCUGAUGCAGAGACGCCGCGUGGGGGAUGACGGCCUUCGGGUUGUAAACUCCUGUCGCGAGGGACGAAGCGUUUUUGUGACGGUACCUGGAGAAGAAGCACCGGCUAACUACGUG
rnacentral:rRNA from 1 species